CAGCACAUGUCUCAAACACAUAGGGAAAAAAGAACUAAGCAGCUAAGUGCUCAAGAAGUAGCUAGGCUAAGGUGUGAAUUAAAAAUAAUAACAUAUGAUCCAAAAAUUAUUAAAACAAGGUAACUAAUCUGGCACCAAAUACAUUAAAACAACAUGGAACAAAUGCAGGUGGAAAAUUGAAUAAAAGAAAAUAAAAUUUUCAUAAUCAAAGAAAUUGAAGUAAAG
rnacentral:misc_RNA from 1 species